AUUGAACGCUGGCGGCAGGCCUAACACAUGCAAGUCGAGCGGAUGAAGGGAGCUUGCUCCUGGAUUCAGCGGCGGACGGGUGAGUAAUGCCUAGGAAUCUGCCUGGUAGUGGGGGAUAACGUCCGGAAACGGGCGCUAAUACCGCAUACGUCCUGAGGGAGAAAGUGGGGGAUCUUCGGACCUCACGCUAACAGAUGAGCCUAGGUCGGAUUAGCUAGUUGGUGGGGUAAAGGCCUAGCAAGGCGACGAUCCGUAACUGGUCUGAGAGGAUGAUCAGUCACACUGGAACUGAGACACGGUCCAGACUCCUACGCGAGGCAGGAGUGGGGAAUAUUGGACAAUGGGAGAAAGCCUGAUCCAGCCCUGCCGAGUGUGUGAAGAAAGUCUUCGGCUUUUAAAGCUCUUUAAGUUGGGAGGAAGGGCAGUAAGUUAAUACCUUGCUGUUUUGACGUUACCAAAAGAAUAAGCACCGGCUAACUUCGUG
rnacentral:rRNA from 1 species